rnacentral:misc_RNA from 1 species
GAUGAAGAACGUAGCGAAAUGCGAUACGUAAUGUGAAUUGCAAAUUCAGUGAAUCAUCGAAUCUUUGAACGCACAUUGCGCCCGCCAGUAUUCUGGCGGGCAUGCCUGUUCGAGCGUCAUUUCAACCCUCAGGCCCCCAGUGCCUGGUGUUGGGGAUCGGCCCAGCCUUCCUGUAAGGCCGCCGGCCCCGAAAUCUAGUGGCGGUCUCGCUGUAGUCCUCCUCUGCGUAGUAGCACAACCUCGCAGUUGGAACGCGGCGGUGGCCAUGCCGUUAAACACCCCACUUCUGAAAGUUGACCUCGGAUCAGGUAGGAAUACCCGCUGAACUUAAGCAUAUCAAUAAGCGGAGGA